UCCUUUCAUUGUGAUUUUAUUUUUUAACCGUAUUGAUGUGAAAGAGAAAAUCUCGUAAUUCAUGACUGCAGUUUACAGCAUAUUCAUAUACGUAUAUAUAUAAAAAAUCCAGUUUCUGAGCUGUUUCCACAUGUUACAAAAUAAACCAGAUCAAGUGAUUAUCAAUAACAACAUUAACAGACUUGCACUUAAGAGGCCAUCUGAACAACACUCCUUCCAUGGUAAUCACAGGCCAUACUAAUCAAUGAGAGAAUAAUACACAAGCACCUGGUUUCGAUCAAUCAAAUCAGUGAGGGAAAUUCAUGGUGAGCAACAAUAAACUCUGGCACCAGACCAGUGGUAUGUGUCUGAUGUCUCAGGAAAGAGUGAGUCGAACAUCUUAUUAGAUACAGUUCUAUAUUGCUGCUGGUUCAAAAGCAUGGAUUAAAAAACGUACUAUAAUGCAGAAACUAUUCAGCUGAAAUCGCAUCUAACUUUGGGCAAACUCAAAGCACCACUGCCACAAAUUAUUUGUCACAUUGGAUACAAACAUCGGUGAGAUGUGGAGAACUUUAAUCCAGUAUUUAUCUGUCAAUCUGUGCUGCUGGAGCCUUGUACAGUGAGUGCUUGUGUUCAUGCAUUUCAGUGUUUGAGUCCGUGUAGGCAGACGGAGAGGUAGUGUGUAUGGUUGAGGAGGCCUCCCCAGUGUGUUGUACUAAUGGCCUAGUCACAAGGAAUCACAAUGUUAUUAAAUAAAACAACAAACCACAGCCAAACAGUCAUAAUUAUAAUGUACAGACAAAAAAAAAGAAACUUGUACCUCUUUAAGAAAACAAAGAAAUCACAUGUGGCGGAUCUGACGGCCACAGAGUUGCUACAUUUGUCUGGAACGAUGUCUAAAUUUGCCCCCCGGGCACAAAAAAUCUUGGACUGUACAAAUCCAAAGAAAGAAAAUACUAGUACACAGAUGUCCUUCAUGUGUUUGUGUGAUCGAACAGCAUCUUUGUGAGUUAAGGUUUGAUGGGCGGGCAGAAGACGAACAAUGAAGAGGAAGAGGAGGAAAGUGAAGAAGGAAGCAAGCUUAUUUUACAGCAAAAUGUUGGAUAAUGAAUCUAUGUUACUGCAGUGGUUAUUAUCAAUAUUUAGCUUUAUUUUUUCUUUUCUUUUUUUUUAAUAGUGUUUAAUCUAGACUGCAUUGUAUUUAUGUUUUUAUUUUGAUGAAUGAUCAAGUCCACAAGCGUAAUGUGGUGCUCAGACAGGUAGAGAAAUAUUGCGGCCAGACCUCUGAACUCUGUCUCAUCAAACUCACCGAGCACUGAAAGCAAAAUUCAGAUAUUAUAUUUGAUUACUUCUUUGAUUUAUUAUUUGAUCGAAUCAGUAUUCAAUUUUAGUUAUCUGCAGGGUUCCUACACAGUUGGAAUUUCCAUACUUUUCCAUAUCCUAAUUUGUAGAAUUAUUUUUGGAAAUACCUAAUUUUUUAUUUUAGGAAACAGAGCCCUCUCCGCUGCCGCCCCCUCCCUCUGGAAUUCACUCCCCAAACCCAUCCGAGACCGUACAGACCCCCAUACUUUUAAAUCACUCCUAAAAACACACCUUUUUAAAUUAACUUUUAACCCAUGAAAUAUUCUUUUACUGUGUUUUCAUAUUGUGUCUUUUUUAACCUUUUACAUUGUUAGUCUUAUUACUCAAAUUUUAUUUAUUUUAAAUUGUUUAUUUUUGUAAAGUGUCUUUGAGCACCUGUAAAAACGCGUUUUAAAUUAAUCUAUUAUCAUCAUUAUUUAUUAUAGUAUUUGGGACUUUGGAAAUAGUCUGGAAACGAUUCUUUUUCCAUACUUUUUAAGAGCUGGAAACGGAUCAAAUUUAUAUCCAUACUUGCGUAGGAGCCCUGUAUCUGACAUGUUGGUCAGAGAGCAGAGAGCUUUAACCAACAAAGAGGCAUCUAGGUUUUUAAAUCAGACUGAUUUUCACACGAUCUACAAAUGAGGGGUUAAGAGGUUCCUGAGGGCACCUCAGGGGUCUCAUUAAUUAAUUAAAGAAGUCAGUGUCUGUGAGCUUGUUGAGACUGUGGUCUGACUACAGGGUAUGAACCAGGGAGAGGGAAAGACUGCAGGGCUGCUGUCUCUUGUUCAUGAUCUGUGAGCUGUACUGGUGCUGCAUCUGUAAGGCAGUGAGCAGUGUAACAUUCAGUACAGAGACGAGGAGUGUCCCGUACUGUUAUAUGAAGAUAUCCAGAACCUUUUUUUUAAUCUAACGAGUCAGGACGAUUGAAUUGGAGGGUCACUGGCCAGGUGACAAAAAUAAAAGGACCUCACUGUGUAUCAGGGGUUUACCAGAGACACUGAGAUUCAAAUCCUCCUCCUAACAAUCAGUAACAGACUACAGGUUUAGGGUCAGGUUUCAGCGCAUCAAAAGAGCCUUCAAAUAUUCUUUUUUUUUUCAUAAGAGAUUAAUAUGUCGCUUAGUUUGAGAUUUCAGAAGUAGCGAAGAGUGCUUACAUGAUUAAAAUGCAGCUUCUGCCCCUCAACAAUAGUCUGCUAUUAUCUGAGAGACCAAAGACUGAGAGGACUAAAAGUAUCAGCCAAUGACUGAGGAGAAAAACCUUCAUUUGAUCCUUAAUUUCUACUUGAAGUUCUCUGCUGGCCUGUGAGUCGGUACGGAGUAAAAACAG